rnacentral:rRNA from 1 species
UACGGAGGUGGCGAGCGUUGUCCGAAGUUACUGGGCGUAAAGCGCGCGUAGGCGGGGGAUUAAGUGAGAAGUGAAAGGCUGGGGCUCAACUCCAUGCAGUGCUUCUCAUACUGGUCUUCUUGAGGGGGGUAGAGAGAAGUGGAAUGGCUGGUGUAGCGGUGAAAUGCUUAGAUAUCGUCAAGAACACCGAUAGCGAAGGCAGCUUACUAAAGAGUAACUGACGCUGAGGCACGAAAGUGUGGGGAUCAAACAGG